rnacentral:rRNA from 1 species
UACGUAGGGGGCAAGCGUUGUCCGGAAUCAUUGGGCGUAAAGCGCGUGUAGGCGGCCCGGUAAGUCCGCUGUGAAAGUCGGGGGCUCAACCCUCGAAUGCCGGUGGAUACUGUCGGGCUAGAGUGCGGGAGAGGCGAGUGGAAUUCCUGGUGUAGCGGUGAAAUGCGCAGAUAUCAGGAGGAACACCAAUGCGAAGGCAGCUCGCUGGAACGUAACUGACGCUGAGACGCGAAAGCGUGGGGAGCAAACAGG